rnacentral:tRNA from 1 species
UUGGGGAUAUAACUCAAUUGGUAGAGUGCUUGUCUCACAAGUACAAGGCCCUGGGUUCAAUCCCCAGCACCAAA